CCAUACAUAGGACCAGUGGGACCUCCAGGAAAAACCAAACCAGAGGUCCUCUUUGAAUACUGUUGACUGACAGUGCUGGCGGGCUGGCAGGAUGGAUAGCAUGACUGGCAGACACUGCUGGGGUGGCAUGCCUCCACAGGCCGUGUAGAGUGCCAGCUUGCCCACAGGGAUGCCCAUGCCGUAGCAGCCCAGGUCCCCCAGGCCCAGGAUCCUCUCUCCGUCUGUCACACACACCGCCUGUCAAUCACAUCACAUCACACCUGUCAAUCAUACCUUGCUGUCGGGGGGAGACGUUGACCCCAUGAUCCUGAGAUGAGGGAGGAGAGGUGUCCUCAGUGCCUCUGACACCUUUCCCCCGAUCCCCUCACAACAUCUGUACAGGGCCUCCAGCUCCUUCUCCAUCCCUUAGGAACAGUACUGGUGUUAUAAUAGGACUUCAGUCACAUCCCCUAGGCUGAAGAGAAAGGGGAAAGGGGUGAGAUAUUCCGUGAGAAGGGGGCGAGAGCUGAGCUUUCUCACCAAGAGUCUAAUGGCCCCAUACUCAGAAUCAUAGUACCUCUCAGAAUCACCUCAUCUGGAUCUAGGUGUAAAAAUAAAAGGUAAUCUUGAGUGGAAGGAGACAAUACUGUUUAACAAUGUAUAUGAGAGAUCAAAUGUGUUAAAAAUGCACACCUUGAGAUUGAUACAGAAUGAAGUUGGUGAGGAGUGUUUGUGGAGUCUGUCUAUAAGAACUUGAGCACUGAUAGGUGGAUGGUGUCCCAACUGUCCUGUGAGGAUCCGAAUAGGUCAGACCAGCUUUGCAAUAAAUAACUUCAACCAGACCCCCUCUCACCCGCAGAGGGGGGGGGACUGGUGGGGUUUGACAGCUCACACCCCGUUGUAAAUCAAGGACAGAACACUCAGCAUCUCUCUAAAUUCACCCAAGGAAUGUGCCUUUGUUUUAAGAAGAUUUUCCACCAAAACUCUAACACGUUCAAAAGCAAAUACUGGAACAAUAUUUCUAACAUAGAACGUGGGGAAUAUUUCUAACAUAGAACGAGGGGAAUGGGCUUUGUGUUUUCUUGAUUUGCUUACCUAUUUAAGCUUGUGAAGCUCGCCCUUGUGUGUGCGGGAUUAUAUUUUGUUCACGUCUUGUAUCGGGGGUGUUAUUGUGCUCCGGAUCGUUGUUACCCUGUGUUUUGGGUUGGUCAGUGUUUUGGCCCUGUGUUUUGGGCAUGUCAGUGUUUUGGCCCUGUGUUUUGGGCAUGUCAGUGUUUUGGCCCUGUGUUUUGGGCAUGUCAGUGUUUUGGCCCUGUGUUUUGGGCAUGUCAGUGUUUUGCCCCUGUGUUUUGGGCAUGUCAGUGUUUUGCCCCUGUGUUUUGGGCAUGUCAGUGUUUUGCCCUGUGUUUUGGGCAUGUCAGUGUUUUCGCCCUGUGUUUUGGGCAUGUCAGUGUUUUCGCCCUGUGUUUUGGGCAUGUCAGUGUUUCCGCCCUGUGUUUUGGGCUGGUCAGUGUUUUCGCCCUGUGUUUUGGGCAUGUCAGUGUUUUCGCCCUGUGUUUUGGGCAUGUCAGUGUUUUUGCCCUGUGUUUUGGGCAUGUCAGUGUUUUUGCCCUGUGUUUUGGGCAUGUCAGUGUUUCCGCCCUGUGUUUUGGGCUGGUCAGUGUUUUCGCCCUGUGUUUUGGGCAUGUCAGUGUUUUUGCCCUGUGUUUUGGGCAUGUCAGUGUUUUCGCCCUGUGUUUGGGUUGGUCAGUGUUUUCGCCCUGUGUUUUGGGCAUGACCAUUUUUGUGCCUGGAUUAAAGUGCAUUUCUCCGUG